rnacentral:rRNA from 1 species
AUUGAACGCUGGCGGAAUGCUUUACACAUGCAAUUCGAACGGUAGAGGGCGCAACCCCUCGAGAGUGGCGAACGGGUGAGUAAUGUAUCGGAACGUGCCCAGUCGUGGGGGAUAACGUAGUGAAAAUUACGCUAAUACCGCAUACGAGCUAUGGAUGAAAUCGCGGGACCGCAAGAGCUCGCGCGAGUGGAGCGGCCGACAUCGGAUUAGGUAGUUGGUGGGGUAAAGGCCCACAAAGCCAACGAGCGGUAGCUGGUCUGAGAGGACGAACAGCCACAAUGGAACUGAGACACGGUCCAGACUCCUACGGGAGGCAGCAGUGGGGAAUUUUGGACAAUGGGCGAAAGCCUGAUCCAGCCAUGCCGCGUGCAGGAUGAAGGCCCUCGGGUUGUAAACUGCUUUUGUACAGAACGAAAAGGUUUCUACUAAUACUAGGAGCUCAUGACGGUACUGUAAGAAUAAGCACCGGCUAACUACGUGCCAGCCGCCGCCGUAA